GAUGAACGCUGGCGGUAUGCUUAACACAUGCAAGUCGAACGGUACCUUCGGGGAUAGUGGCGGACGGGUGAGUAACGCGUGAGAAUCUAUCUUCAGGUCGGGGACAACAGUUAGAAAUGACUGCUAAUACCGGAUGUGCCGAAAGGUAAAAGAUUUAUUGCCUGAAAAAGAGCUCGCGUCAGAUUAGCUAGUAGGUGGUGUAAGAGACUACCUAGGCUUCGAUCUGUAGCUGGUCUGAGAGGACGAUCAGCCACACUGGAACUGAGACACGGUCCAGACUCCUACGGGAGGCAGCAGUGGGGAAUUUUCCGCAAUGGGCGAAAGCCUGACGGAGCAAUACCGCGUGAGGGACGAAGGCUCUUGGGUCGUAAACCUCUUUUCUCAAGGAAGAUUCAGACGGUACUUGAGGAAUAAGCAGCGGCUAACUCUGUG
rnacentral:rRNA from 1 species